ensembl:lncRNA
UCAAGGAGCAAGCGUCUUUUAAUUUCAUGGCUGCAAUCACCAUCUGCAGUGAUUUUGGAGUCCCCCAAAAAUAAAGUCUCUCACAAAGUUUCCAUUGUUUCCCCAUCUAUUUGCUAUGAAGUGAUGGGACCAGAUGCCAUGAUCUUAGUUUUCUGAAUGUUGAGCUUUAAGCCAACUUUUCCACUCUCACUUUCAUCAAGAGGCUCUUUAGUUCUUUACUUUCUGCCAUAAGUGUGGGGUCAUUUGAAUAGCUUUCCCUCCAGUUUAAAGCUAAUCCUUCUCUGCUCUGAAUCUCUUCCUGUCCCCCUUUCUUGGGAGUGUUGAUGACCCCAUCAGUUAUCCCUAUGUCAGUCAUUCUCUUUCUGUGUCUUCUUUAAACUCUUCAUCUCUCCUGGACAUUUCCCUUCUGCUAAUAACUUUAUUUUGUUAGUGAAGCCCAUCCGUGGACUGUGUUUCUUUGUGUUUAACUCUCCAUCUAGUUCCUUCUCUGACAAGCUCUAGGAAGAAUAGUGUUGACUUUUCAGUCUUCACUUGCUCUACUCCCAUUCUCUCUUCUAAAUAACUCAAAUAUGUUGCCUCCUCUCCAUUCCCUUGUUGUUGCCUUGCUUAAGGCAUGAUAUCUUGCUGGAACUUUUUAUCCUUUAAACUUUUCUCCCUCAUGUCUGGCUCAAAAAUUCAAUCUUACAGCUUCCUGCCAUUCCUCUAACCAGACUGAAAUUUCUUAAAUAUAAAAUGCUAAAAACUAGUUAGUGGCUCCACGUUUAUUUGCCAGAAUGUUAACUAAUGCUCAGCAGAUUAUCUCAAUGCUAAUAUUAUAUAUAUAAAAAAAAGAAACGAUCUAAUAGGAGACAAAAUGAAAAAUACUGACCACACUUUACUCCUGCCCUUCUAUUUUUUUUUUUUUUUCCUUUUUAACCAAAUAUCUAUUUCCUAUUGUAGCACAGGAGGUCAUGAGGAUAAAGAAGAGAGGAAACAGGUUCGAAAAGGACCAGCACCAUAGGAGAAGCACAGUUCUGAGAAUAUCUGGCUUAAUUAUGGGAACCUGCACCCUGAGAAUGACACAGAUAACAGAAAGUAAGUAUAGAAGAGUCUGGAAACCUUACGCAUUGUGAGAAAUUGUGGCGAGGACUGGGUGGUACAGCAGGUAAGAAUUUUUCUUUGAUGUUAGGCACUAUUGGAGAGCUUUGCUCUUUUUAGAUUUCUGUUCAUAGUCAAGUUUUAAUCCUUGAGCUCCCGAGGCUGGUCUGGGGUUAGUUACCAUCAAGAGUUACCCAUUUUCGAAGCCCUUACUCUCGCAGCUCCUGUGGCUUUUUUCCUAAGUCAGUUUUACCGUCCUUGCCAUUUUUUCCCCCUCAAAGAGUUCUCCCUAGAGGUUCCUAAGUUUUUAUGAGCUUCUUGAGAGUGCCGACCAGUUUGCCAGAGGGCUUCAGUGUUGCUAAAUCCUGAGUCAAACUCUCUGCCCUUUCCCCCAGGCUUACUAGGCUCUAGCAGUGGAAUAGAAACAAGCAGGAAAUGGGAACUAACUGUAGAGAGACAAGGGGCCCCGUCUGGAGCAUGAACUUGGUUUGAAGACCAACUCUACAGCUGUACUGCUAACCCUGCCCUCAAUUUUAGACUGCCCUGGACGUUGAGGAUUCACUCUGGCUAUCUCUCAAGUGAUUUUUAAAAUUCAAAUUACUUUAACUUACCAGUGGGAAAGACUGUGGUUUUUCCAUAAAAUAAAAAACUGCCACAUUUAUACUAUAUUUGGUUU